rnacentral:lncRNA from 1 species
UCUGUCUCUGCAAAGGGGUAAUUCCUGGGUGUUCUUCAGUGGUGAGUGAAGGCAUUUUUGCACAUGCUAUCGGAUGAACUGAGUCUAGAAUUUUGGUGAGCUCUCUUCCAGAAUAGACCACUGGUUCCUUGGGUGAGAAUGAAGACUUGCAAAGAGCCUGAUGGUGAGGAUAAGAUUGCUUUGUGAGAAGUUUAUACAUCAGAGCAGUGGGAACAGAGCAGACAUAUUUGAUACCGAAAAAAGUGAACCCCAGGAGAGGGCUCCAAGCUUCAGCUCUUGUCUGAGACUGUCCUGCACUGUGGCUGUAUGAUUACCAUAGCCCUUGACUUCUGAAUGGCAAAUGGCACCUGAAAGAGAAAUCACUAAGUCACAGGGUCGGCUCCAUCCUACUCCUCUAUACUAUACAGGUGACCUUCCUGCUUCCUGCUUCCUGCUUCCUGCUUCCUGCUUCCUGCUUCCUGCUUCCUGCUUCCUGCUUCCUGCUUCAGACUGCAGACCAGGGCUUGGACUUGGCUGUGUUCCUCUGCUGAAGGUUACAGCUACUGCUGCACAGCUGUCUUUGUACAGAUCUCCCCAGAUAAAGCCACAAUGUAAGGUUCCAGGUGGCCACACUUAUUUGGAGACACCAUUUAACACGGUUCUGCUUCUACUUCCAUGAGAACCUAGUGAAGAAGACACAGCCAGAGCUUUGAUCAAAGAUUCCAAAUGCAAAUACAACUAACCACCCAACUGGUCCCAUCAGCCAAUGUAUCUCUUUGUUACCUCAAGGGAGAUUGAUUUACGCUUUCAUCAAUAAAUCUUCAUAUUUUCAAUGUUUUCUUUUCAGAUAGUACAAUUUUGACAGUCUAAAAAAAUCUUCAUUUCUAUACGCAAUAAACCAUGUUGGUGGCAAAGUAA